rnacentral:tRNA from 1 species
UUCCUGGUGGUCUAGUGGUUAGGAUUCAGCACUUUCACUGCAGCAGCUCAGGUUCAAUCCCUGGGUCUGGGAA